ACCGACUACUCGUUUGGUUGCCCUGUUGACAUGGAAGUAUUGUGGCUACAUGGUGUUUGUAAUGAGAAUCCUUUGGCUCCAAUGUUAAGGCAUUUGGGCCUCAACUUAUAUCAUACUAGUGGUGACAACUCUGUACUGUAUGACCAUGAUCUUGAGAGGAGAAUGUACUUUCUGGUGGUCAUGGACUAAUGGUUCAAGGUUAUUACCCUGUAAUACAAGCUUUGGCUAAAAUUACCCUAAUUCAAAGGUCAACAUU